rnacentral:lncRNA from 1 species
UUAUUUUUGUUGCUUUCGCUUUGUGUUGAGAUUUUUUUUUGUAGUCUUUUUUGGUGGGGGGGGGGGCUUUCCUUUUUCACCAAUAAUUAUCAAAGACCCAUGCUUCACGGAGUAAUUCUGCGGAUUCUAACUCAGAACUAUAAUUUGAGUAACCACAAAGUGUUAACGAGAUCUUGCAAUCAUCUCCCUGCCUAUUGUCGGUACAAAAAAACAAACAUUAACCGAUCAUCCUACUUCAUUAGGUUGUAUGAUUAGAUUACCAAAGAAUUAUGUGGUGUUAGCAGGAGGGAGAGGGGGGUAAAACACCGAGUGGAUACUGUUGCGGAAUUCUGAUACCUUUAAGGACUAGUCAUCGUUGGUGUGGAGGAGAACGGUACCAAUGACCGUUUUCAGGAUCUCUGAGACUGAAAAGAGAGAUCAAUGGAGUUGUCCCCUCAAAUAGAUCUGGCCUGCAUACUUAUAACAGAACGGACCCUACUAAGGGUACAGAAGGAUCAGGUGGUCGUGUUGAAUUGGUCAAUGGAUUAAGUGUGCCACUCCAAGAACAGCGGAUGAUCUCUAUGGUGGUGAUGGUGGUGGUGGGUGUUUUCUUCAGAGAUUUCGUUGACCAAAUUUCACUCAUAAGGCUUUGAUUGAGCCACAGCUAUGUAUGAUUCCUCAAGAUACCACGCAAUUGGAUCGAACCUAAAAACUUUGCAGCCAUGAAACAAAAAUUCUUAGCCAUACAGCCAUACAGCCAUACCUGCAGCUAUGUUGAAUACAUUGAGCGACAUCGAACUAAAUUGGAUUGUAGGCGACAGAAUCGAUAGAGCGUCUGACAAAAUGCUUUGCGUACCGGAACACACCGCCAGGAAUUUUAUCCGAUGCUCUAGCGAUUCUGCUAGGUUUACAUAAAAUAUUCCGCAACAACAACAACAAUGACGACAGCAACAAUAAGAGAAGCAGCAGCAGCAGCAAUCCUGCGGAUCCUGAUUACUCCACUCCGAAGAAAUUUAUCAAUGUUCAUAAAUUUACCAGUUUAAGCCAACGAAAACAUGGGAUAAAGAUAAAUUUUAUCCAUAAAAAUUAAGUAUUGCACUUCCUGCACUUUACUGCACUCUACCUGAACAUGGAGAUGCUUGAUAACACCACGAUGUCAAAGGUUGUCCAUUUUCUCGAUAAAUCGCUAAUAGUUACUUUGAAGUCUUCUUUGAACAGUCGGACAUCAGUUUACCUGGAUAGAAAUAAUGCAGUUAUUAACAAGAGUACUCAGAGAGCGCAACCAUCCGCCAAGGCAACAUCAACGUCCUCUCAACGAUUAGCCAGAGA